rnacentral:rRNA from 1 species
UUCCGAUCUCUCAGAUUGAACGCUGGCGGCAGGCCUAACACAUGCAAGUCGAGCGGUAGAGAGAAGCUUGCUUCUCUUGAGAGCGGCGGACGGGUGAGUAAUGCCUAGGAAUCUGCCUGGUAGUGGGGGAUAACGUUCGGAAACGGACGCUAAUACCGCAUACGUCCUACGGGAGAAAGCAGGGGACCUUCGGGCCUUGCGCUAUCAGAUGAGCCUAGGUCGGAUUAGCUAGUUGGUGAGGUAAUGGCUCACCAAGGCGACGAUCCGUAACUGGUCUGAGAGGAUGAUCAGUCACACUGGAACUGAGACACGGUCCAGACUCCUACGGGAGGCAGCAGUGGGGAAUAUUGGACAAUGGGCGAAAGCCUGAUCCAGCCAUGCCGCGUGUGUGAAGAAGGUCUUCGGAUUGUAAAGCACUUUAAGUUGGGAGGAAGGGCAGUAAAUUAAUACUUUACUGUUUUGACGUUACCGACAGAAUAAGCACCGGCUAACUCUGUGCCAGCAGCCGCGGUAAUACAGAGGGUGCAAGCGUUAAUCGGAAUUACUGGGCGUAAAGCGCGCGUAGGCGGUAUGUUAAGUCGGAUGUGAAAUCCCUGGGCUCAACCUAGGCAUUGCAUCCGAUACUGGCACACUAGAGUGUGGGAGAGGAAGGUAGAAUUCCAGGUGUAGCGGUGAAAUGCGUAGAGAUCUGGAGGAAUACCGAUGGCGAAGGCAGCCAUCUGGCCUAAUACUGACGCUGAGGUGCGAAAGCAUGGGGAGCAAACAGGAUUAGAUACCCUGGUAGUCCAUGCCGUAAAC